AUAUUUGUAACAAUACACUAAAAUUUAAGAUGUUUGUAACUCACCACUAUAAGACAUAGCUAUAUCACCUUACGCUGCUUUCAAUUUUGAACUCACACAAAUAACCAAAGAACGAAUAUCGAACCAUCUUAUGAGUUCUUACACCAAACAAGAUUUUCAUGACCGAAUCCCCGGUGCAUACUCCAAGUCUACAUCCACAGGCUCAACACAUAAUAAUCUAUCAUUGAUUUCCAGCAACCAUCUAACACUGACCAUCUAGAUAAUUUUAAUGACUCAACAACUGAGGGCAUGCAAUUCAUGUUAACAUACCAUGAAAUACAA
rnacentral:lncRNA from 1 species